UUUUGGGUUGAAUUCAGCGGUUUUGGGGGGGGGUGGUGACGUCAUUGGGACGUCAUGGAGCGUUUUGGGGUGGAAAUGAAGGAUUUUGGGGCUUUGGGCGGGAAUUAAGGGGGAAAUUUAAGGAUUUUGGCGCUUCGGGGACAAUUUUAAGUUUAAAUUAAAGGAUUUUGGGGCUGAAAUUAAAGGAUUUUGGGGUGAAAUUAAAGGAUUUUGGGGUUCGGGACAUUUUUGGGCUCAUUUAAAGUGUUUUUUGGGGUGAAAUUGAAGCAUUUUGGGGGUGAAGCUCCAGAUUUGGGGCUUAAUGAGGUUUUUGGGGUUAAUUAAAGUGCUUUGAGUCCAUUAAUUACAGACGCCGAGUUAAUUACGGCUUUGGGGUUAAUUACGGGUUUUUGGGGCUAAUUACGGGGUUUUUGGGGUUAAUUACAUGUUUUUUGGGCGUUAAUUAUGUGCGUUUGGGUGUUAAUUACAUGGUUUGGGUGUUAAUUAGGGGGUUGGGUGUUAAUUAGGGGGUUUGGGGUUAAUUAGGGGGAUUUUGGGGCCUCAAAAGGCCCUUCUGGCCCCUCCCCCCCCCAGACCCGCAGCCGCUUUGGGGCAAAACCCGCCCGGAUCAGGCAAAGCCAAAAACUGCCGAUUUUGGGGCAUUUUGGGGCGAUUUGGGGCAAUUUGGGGUCAUUUUCUGCCGAUUCCGUGACCGUUUCACAUCCCCGCCGCAGCUUUUGGGCCAAAAUGGGCCGUUUUCGCCGCUUUUGCCGCUGUUUCCGCCGCCGCCGCCGCCCGCCCGGCCCCUCCCCCCGCCAAGGCCAAACGCCGCCCGGCGCCGCCGCCGCUGACGUCACCGAUGACGUCACCGAUGACAUCACCGAUGAGGUCAUCGCCGCUCGGCGCCACCGUCAUCAUCUGGCCCCCCCCGGCCAUCGUCACGCUGGGGGCGCCGCGCGUGGCCCUCGUGGGCCAAAAACCCCCGGUUUAGCCCCAAAAAUCACCCCCCCCCCCACCUUUCCCGCCAAAAAAUAAGGUGCUUUCUGACCCAAAAUUGGGCUUUUUCGACCCAAAAUUGCGCUUUUUAGGCCCAAAAUUGCGCUUUUUAGACCCAAAGUUGCGCUUUUUCGACCCAAAAUUGCUCUUUUUAGACCCAAAAUUGGGCUUUUUCGACCCAAAAUUGGGAUUUUUCGACCCAAAAUUGCGCUUUUUAGGCCCAAAAUUGCUCUUUUUAGACCCAAAAUCGUGCUUUUUAGACCCAAAAUUGCGCUUUUUAGACCCAAAGUUGCUCUUUUUAGACCCAAAAUUGCGCUUUUUAGACCCAAAGUUGCGCUUUUUCAACCCAAAAUUGCGCUUUUUAGAGCCAUAGUCGCACUUUAUAGACCCAAGAACACACUUUUUAGACCCAAAAUCACAGUUUUAGACCCAAAAUUGCUCUUUUUUGACCCAAAAUCGCACUUUUUUGACCCAAAAUCACAGUUUUUAGACCCAAAAUUGCUCUUUUUAGGCCCAAAAUCACAGUUUUUAGACCCAAAAUCGCACUUAUUCAACCCAAAUUUCACUUUUUCGACCUAAAAUUACUCUUUUUUGACCCAAAAUCACAUUUUUUAGAUCCAAAAUUACUCUUUUUCGACCCAAAAUCGCACUUUUUAGAGCCAAAAUUACUCUUUUUUGACCCAAAAUCACAGGUUUUAGACCCAAAAUUGCACUUUUUCGACCCAAAGUUGCACUUUUUCAACCCAAAUUUCACUUUUUAGACCCAAAAUUGUGCUUUUUCAACCCAAAAUCACACUUUUUAGACCCAAAAUUGAGCUUUUUAGAGCCAUAGUCGCACUUUUUAGACCCAAAAUCGCCCUUUUUAGACCCAAAAUUCUACUUUUAUUGACCCAAAAUCACGCUUUUUGGACCCAAAAUAACCCUUUUUAGACCUAAAAUUGCGAUUUUUGGACCCAAAAUCACACUUUUCGGACCCAAAUUUGCACUUUUAAACCCAAAAUUGUGCUUUUUAGCCCCAAAAUUACUCUUUUUAGACCCAAAAUUGCUCUUUUUAGACCCAAAAUCGCACUUUUUAGACCUAAAAUUGCUCUUUUUAGACCCAAAAUCGUGCUUUUUAGACCCAAAAUUGCGCUUUUUCGACCCAAAAUUACUCUUUUUUGACCCAAAAUCACAUUUUUUAGGCCCAAAAUUGCUCUUCUUAGACCCAAAAUCACAUUUUUUAGACCCAAAAUUACUCUUUUUAGACCCAAAAUUGAGCUUUUUAGAGGCAUAGUUGCGCUUUUUAGACCCAAAAUCCCACUUUUUAGACCCAAAAUCGCACUUUUUGGACCCAAAAUCGCACUUUUUAGACCCAAAAUUACUCUCUUUCGACCCAAAAUCGUGCUUUUUCAACCCAAAAUAACCCCUUUUAGACCUGAAAUUGUUGGUUUUAGACCCAAAAUUGCACCUUUUAGACCCAAAAUUGCGCUUUUUUGACCCAAAAUUGCCCUUUUUCAACCAAAAUCGUGCUUUUUAGACCCAAAAAUCUCACUUUUAGACCCAAAAUCGCGCUUUUUAGACCCAAAAUUGCGCUUUUUAGACACAAAUUCGCACUUUUGGACCUAAAAUCGCGCUUUUUAGACCCAAAAUUGCACCUUUUAGACCCAAAAUUGCGCUUUUUACACCCAAAAACCGCACUUUUUAGACCCAAAAUCGCACUUUUUAGACCCAAAAUCACACUUUUUAGACACAAAUUCGCACUUUUGGACCCAAAAUUGCUCUUUUUAGACCCAAAAUUGUGCUUUUUAGACCCAAAAUCUCACUUUUUAGACCCAAAAUCACACUUUUUAGACCCAAAAUCGCACUUUUGGACCCAAAAUCGCGUUUUUUAGACCCAAAAUCGCUCUUUUUAGCCCCAAAAUCGCGCCGCCCACCCCCCCCCCACGACUUUGCCUUUUGACCCAAAUCCGCCGUUUUUUUGCCCCAAAACCACGUGGGCGAAAUGUCGCAAUUUGGCUUUGACCCAAAUCUGGGCGUUUUUGGUUAAAAAUGCACAUUUUUUGACCCUAAAACUUGGCGUUUUCACCCCAAAAUGAGGUUGACCCAAAAUCGGGGUUUUUAGCCCCAAAAUUGUUACCAAAAAAACGGCGUUUGGCUCAAAAUUCAAGUUUUUUGGCCCCAAAAAUGGGGGUUGGACCCAAAAUCCGCCGGUUUGGCCCCAAAAUGGAGACGUGGACGCGAAAUUGUCGCAAUUUGCCUUAAAAUGGAUUAAAAUGGGUGAAAACGGAUCGAAAA